rnacentral:misc_RNA from 1 species
GAUGAAGAACGUAGCGAAACGCGAUAAGUAAUGUGAAUUGCAGAAUCCAGUGAAUCAUCGAAUCUUUGAACGCACAUUGCGCCCCUUGGUAUCCCGAGGGGCAUGCCUGUUCGAGCGUCAUUUCACCACUCAAGCCUGGCUUGGUGUUGGGCGACGUCCUCUUUGGGGACGCGCCUCGAAACGCUCGGCGGCGUGGCACCGGCUUUAAGCGUAGCAGAAUCUUUCGCUUUGGAAGUCGGGGCCCCGUCUGCCGGAAGACCUGCUCGCAAGGUUGACCUCGGAUCAGGCAGGGAUACCCGCUGAACUUAAGCAUAUCAAUAAGCGGAGGA